rnacentral:lncRNA from 1 species
AAAAAAUUAGUUCAAAAUCCUUGGUAUACUUUGAUAGGUUCAAACCCGAUUGAUGAUCGUGUCUGUAACGCCCAAAAAUAAUUAUUUGUUAUUUUUAAUAUUUACGUAAUUAUUGUGGUGUUAUUUGAGUAAGUGGGCUUAUCAUUGUGUUCUAAUUAGUAAAAUGAGAGGUGUUAUAUUAGGCCCAUUAGAGAUUAGGAUAUUUAGUUAAUUUAAUAAAGAGAAAAUAAAAGGAGGUGAUAGAAAAAAAAAAAAAAACAGUAGUGGAGAGAAGUUAGCAGAAGAGGAAUUUGAGAACUGUUGUACGAACGAGAGGGAAGGAGAAGAAAACUUCCGGAAUCCGAUUCUUAGAGCAACCUUCGAUCCAAAAUAAUAAGGUAAGGGGGGUUAUCGUCGUUUAAUGGGUAUUAUGGGUUAACAUGUAAUGGGUAGUGAUGAACCGUUGAUUUGACCCUAAUUGGGAUGUUGAAUGCUGAAAAAAAUUGUGUUGGAUAAGUUGUGGUAAAACUGAAAUUGAAUCUGUAAUUGGAUGGGUAGUGAUUUUCCGAAAACGUAGCUUCUUACGGAAUUGGAAUCGGAGGUCCGAAGUCCUCCAACGGCGGAAAAUGCGGAGAAUUCUGCAUUCUGGCUUCGUGUUAGCGCAGGAACAACUUUCUGUCUUGCGUUAACCGGUUAACCCAGGGUGUUAACCGGUUAACACUGUUACGAAUUGUGAAAAAUUGUUGUUUGUCUUGCGUUAACCGUUAACCCAGGGCGUUAACCGGUUAACACUGUUUAAAAUUUGCCAGAGAAGUGUAUCUGUCCUGGUUAACGGGUUAACCCAGGGCGUUAACGGGUUAACGCUGUUGAAAAACUGAAAAAUCGAAUUGCUCAGAAUUUANCCAAAAACAGUAGUCUGACUUUCUGACAUGUUACAGCGUGCUAUACGUGGUUGGGAAGAGCAAGGUGUUGGUCCUAACUGAAUAGGCAAGGAAGUUUUGAAGAACUUCUUGCCUAUUAAGAUUCACUUGGUUUUAAGGCAAGAUCUGAAAAUGCAAAGAAAAUGAGAGCAUCUGAAAAGGAAGGUCACCUCAGUGCAGUUGGAAGCAUUGGUAUCGCCGAACAUGUUCGACGCAUGAUAAUUAUAACUACUUUUUAAGUUAUAUUUUCAUUUACUAUAUAUUUUUAAUUCAAGUUAAUUUAUUAAUUAAUAUAAGAAUUUAGAGAGACACCCACGAAUGAAUGAGCUGGUUGCAAAGACUCGUAUCAAAAAAUCGGGGGAAUUUGUUGACGAACAUACCAAAUUAGCUUUGGUAAGUUGUUUAUAUGUAUUAUUUAUUUAAAUUAAUUUAUGCAUAUGAAUAAACUGUUUAAGUUUUUUAAAUAUCUAAUGGCAAAGUUGUGGCGUGAUUUUUAUGUGGCAACUAAUUUAAUGUUUUGGCAUGAAAAUCACUUUAUUAUACUUCAUUAUUUUAUUUUAUCUAAUUCUAUAUAUUGUUUAAAUUAUAUUUAAUUUAAAUUUUUUCUUAUAUGUGCAGAAGGACUAUGAUAGAUUGCUUGCAAAAAAAUUAGUUCAAAAUCCUUGGUAUACUUUGAUAGGUUCAAACCCGAUGAUGAUCGUGUCUGUAACGCCCAAAAAUAAUUAUUUGUUAUUUUUAUAUUUACGUAAUUAUUGUGGUGUUAUUUGAGUAAGUGGGCUUAUCAUUGUGUCUAAUUAGUAAAUGAGAGGUGUUAUAUUAGGCCCAUUAGAGAUUAGAUAUUAGUUAAUUUAAUAAAGAGAAAAUAAAAGGAGGUGAUAGAAAAAAAAAAAAAAACAGUAGUGG